rnacentral:rRNA from 1 species
UACAGAGGUCCCGAGCGUUGUUCGGAUUCAUUGGGCGUAAAGGGUGCGUAGGCGGCUUCCUAAGUUUGAUGUGAAAUCCUGGGGCUCAACCCUGGAACUGCAUUGAAUACUGGGAGGCUAGAGUACUGGAGAGGAAACUGGAAUUUACGGUGUAGCAGUGAAAUGCGUAGAGAUCGGAAAGAACACCAACGGCGAAAGCACUCUGCUGGGCCGACACUGACACUGAGAGACGAAAGCUAGGGGAGCGAAUGGG